rnacentral:lncRNA from 1 species
ACGUAUCAGCAUCCAAGGAGCACUAUAAUUUGUAAGAUUAAUGGGGGAAAUGGCAAAGGAAACAAAGACAGGAAGAAAAAAAAAGUGAGAAAGUGGAAAAAAUGGCAAAAUUCUGUAAGCUGAUAUAUCAGUAAUAUAACCUAUAUCAAUGAAGCAAAAUUGUCUGCUUUUAUGUAAAUACUUCGUAUAGACAUUUUUUUAGUGUAUUUAAGUACUGUGUAGAUACUUGAUCUCAGAAAUAACGAUGAUGAAGAGCGUGCGCGUCAUUGCCUUAUAUUAAAAAAGAAAGAAAAACUGUAUUUGGCUGUAAAUUCUUGGGAUUUUUUUGCAUGCGAAUGUUAUUGUUGUUGGCAAACUGAACAAUAUUUUUUAGUAUAAAAUAUGUUAGCUUUCAUUUUUGAGGAGAGAACACCUAAGUACUAACUAACUAAGUGUAACUUUGUUCGUGAAAAAAGGAGAGUAACGCUGAGGAUUGCAUGGAUCAACGGCUAGUAACUCCGUGCAAGUGACGGGUACUACCACAAGUUGUUUAUAGUGAUCUCUGUCAGCAGAUAUGUCGUCUCUCGAAGUUACCAUGACAUUCUCUCAUGUCAUCUUAUGUCAACCUUCGAACCAAUUUGUAGGCAGUGCUGCUGUUUUAUUCGAAGAAAAGUGUGACUCAGUGGACAUCGUUAUCAACAACAAUUAACGGGAUUGAGAUAGAUAUUGAAACUUGAACGCCUCGAAUAUGUCACUAGCAUGGCAAAGUUAACUUUCUCCAAGACAACGCUCGAGCAUAUACAGUAAAAGUCGUCAAACAGACCUUAAAUAUGAACUUCAGUAUAUAGCCUCUAUGUGAAUAUAUGUACAUAUAUACAAUACAAUACAAUACA